AGCGAACGCUGGCGGCAGGCCUAAUACAUGCAAGUCGAACGGUCUCUUCGGAGGCAGUGGCGGACGGGGUGAGUAACGCGUGGGAACGUGCCCUUUGGUACGGAACAACUGAGGGAAACUUCAGCUAAUACCGUAUGUGCCCUUCGGGGGAAAGAUUUAUCGCCAUUGGAGCGGCCCGCGUUGGAUUAGCUAGUUGGUGGGGUAAUGGCCCACCAAGGCGACGAUCCAUAGCUGGUCUGAGAGGAUGAUCAGCCACACUGGGACUGAGACACGGCCCAGACUCCUACGGGAGGCAGCAGUAGGGAAUCUUGCGCAAUGGGCGAAAGUCUGACGCAGCCAUGCCGCGUGAAUGAUGAAGGUCUUAGGAUUGUAAAAUUCUUUCACCGGGGACGAUAAUGACGGUACCCGGAGAAGAAGCCCCGGCUAACUUCGUGCCAGCAGCCGCGGUAAU
rnacentral:rRNA from 1 species